GUUUCAAAAGACUCCAUUCUAUUAAGAAGCACCAGCCAGAACCCCAGUAGUUCUGAAAACAGGCCCAAGGACAAGCAUUGCUCCACAGAUGGAAGUAUUCUGAGACUACAUAAUAAGAAACGUGCUGGAACUGUGAGAUGCCAAGUAAUUAGAGAAGCCAAAGUUUGGUGAAGACACUACAACAGCAACAUGUAUUAGCUUCUGUGCUCCUCUGCACAAAGGCGUCUGGCUACGGGGACAGUAAGCUGUUAUGGAUGCCUUUAUGACUCUGCAUACAAACAGAGCUUCCUGACUCAGGACAAGCAUGUCACACUCAUGACAAGAAGAAGAAGAAAAGCCUAGUAAAUGCUUAGCUGAGUUUUAUGCAGAAUUCCUCAGCGUAGAAACAAUAAAAAAAAUAGACCAGUA